ACGAUGCACCAUCAGUCAUGUGGCACUGUAGAUUGGCAGCUCAUUAGGACCACAGACGUGGCCGUUUUGAAAGGCCGGACACUUUUUUUUCUCCAAACAGGAGAGUCUUGGUUUUUAUUUUAAAUCGGUGUAACCUGUGAAGUUUCAGGAUUCCACUCUGGUUGUCUGGGGUUUUAACUCCAGUUGCUCCACGGCUUUCACGCCAGGGCAGCGGAGGGCGUUUAAAGAUGCGGUCCCUCUCUUCACCAUCCCUCUGUGUGAAGGACCUCAAUAUGGGGCCAACUAGUAAGAACCUGAGUAAAGGGUUUUCCCUGAACUCUGAGCUCCAUAACCACUCCCUGGUGACGGUCAUCGGUGGAGAGGAGGAGCACUUUGAGGACUUUGGUGAAAGCAAUACCUCAGAGUUGCUACUGGAGAGCAGCGUGGAGGGGACGGAGGGGGAGGCCGACUCCUCUCUCGUGCAGCCCCUCGAGCAGGUCAAUGGCUCCUCACUUCUGUCUCCCAGUGCACCUGCUCCUCUCCCUGACUGCUUUCAGAGCUUCCUCAGGGAGGAGGCGCUGGACUUUUUCUGUAGCCAGUGUCACAAACAAAUAAGUCGUCUCGAGGACCUCUCCACUCGCCUCAAUUUCCUAGAGAUGACUAGCGCUGGUAAGAGGCUGUCCAGCAAGAAAGUAGCAAGACAUCUCCUCCAGAACAGCUCCAUGACUCUGGACACCAUGAGCGACUUAACGCGGGACAUCCUGGAGCUCGCUGACAAUGACAUCACAGACAAGGUGCUCCUCCUUGAGCGUCGAGUGGCGGAGCUGGAGAAGGAGUCGGAGGCCUCGGGGGAGCAGCACGCUCGGCUGCGCCAGGAGAACCUUCAGCUGGUGCACCGGGCAAAUGCCCUGGAGGAGCAACUGAAGGAGCAGGAGCUCCAUGCUGACGAGCAACUACAGCAAGAGACCCGCCGCCACAAGGAGGCCCUGAGCAAGCUGGAGAGGGAGAGGGGGCUGGAGCUGGAAAACCUGCAGGCCAGGCUGCAGCAAAUGGAUGAGGAGAACAGUGAGCUGCGGUCCUGUGUUCCUUGUCUACGAGCAAACAUCGAGCGACUAGAGGAGGAGAAGAGGAAGCUGCAAGAUGAGACAGAAGUCAUGUCUGACAGACUUAAGGAUGAGACGGAGUCCCGCAGGAAGAUGGGUGACAAGCUGAGCCACGAGCGCCACCAGAGCCAUAAGGAGAAGGAGUGCACACAGGAGCUAAUUGAAGACCUACGUAAACAGCUCGAGCACCUACAGCUGUACAAGUUGGAGGCCGAAGCAAAGAGAGGGCGCUCACCCGGCGCAGGGCUGCAGGAGUAUCAGACCCGCACCCGCGAAGCCGAGCUGGAGCAAGAGAUCAAACGACUCAAACAGGACAACCGCAGCUUGAAGGAGCAGAAUGACGAGUUAAACGGCCAGAUCAUCAACCUGAGCAUCCAGGGAGCCAAGAACCUGAUGUCGGCCUCCUUCUCCGACUCCCUGGCAGCUGAGAUCAACUCUGUGUCUCGCGCAGAGCUGAUGGAGGCUAUCCACAAGCAGGAGGAGAUCAACUACAGACUCCAGGACUACAUCGACAAAAUCAUCGUGGCCAUCAUGGAGUCCAACCCCUCCAUCCUAGAGGUGAUGUAUGGUCAGUAAAAAUGACACUCGGGAGGUUGUAUGUGAAGAAUCAAAUGGUUGUACUUUGCACUAAGUGUCCAAAGAAAGUUUGCUCAAGGCACAAACAUCACUACUGGAGUAGUGCAUGGCUUGCCAUUAUGUGACAUGGGAAGAUAAAAAGAGAAUAUUGUAGAAAAGAGAAAUUGUAAAAGUUAAAUUUAUUCCUAUUUUCAAAAAUAAAUGUAUAAAUUAUAACAGUAUUGGUUACAGCUGUAUAUUAUUUUUGAAGAUCCCCAAAUGAUCUAAUCCUAAUUGUUACUGGGGAAAUAUAAUUUCUGUCAUUGUAAAAAGAGAAAAUUUAAAGGUAAGCAGUGAAAGUAAGAUUAGAAAAAUAAAUGGAAUA